UGGGGAAUAUUGCACAAUGGGCGCAAGCCUGAUGCAGCCAUGCCGCGUGUAUGAAGAAGGCCUUCGGGUUGUAAAGUACUUUCAGCGGGGAGGAAGGCGAUAAGGUUAAUAACCUUGUCGACUGACGUUACCCGCAGAAGAAGCACCGGCUAACUCCGUGCCAGCAGCCGCGGUAAUACGGAGGGUGCAAGCGUUAAUCGGAAUUACUGGGCGUAAAGCGCACGCAGGCGGUCUGUCAAGUCGGAUGUGAAAUCCCCGGGCUCAACCUGGGAACUGCAUUCGAAACUGGCAGGCUAGAGUCUUGUAGAGGGGGGUAGAAUUCCAGGUGUAGCGGUGAAAUGCGUAGAGAUCUGGAGGAAUACCGGUGGCGAAGGCGGCCCCCUGGACAAAGACUGACGCUCAGGUGCGAAAGCGUGGGGAGCAAACA
rnacentral:rRNA from 1 species